UACGGAGGAGGCAAGCGUUAUCCGGAAUUAUUGGGCGUAAAGAGCUCGUAGGCGGUUUGUCGCGUCGAAUGUGAAAACCCGGGGCUCAACCCCGGGCCUGCAUUCGAUACGGGCAGACUAGAGUUCGGUAGGGGAGUCUGGAAUUCCUGGUGUAGCGGUGAAAUGCGCAGAUAUCAGGAGGAACACCGGUGGCGAAGGCGGGACUCUGGGCCGAUACUGACGCUGAGGAGCGAAAGCGUGGGGAGCGAACAGG
rnacentral:rRNA from 1 species